UCAGCUCGGGAGCGCUCGUGCGGGCGCUGCGUCUUCUGGCUGCGAACGUUGAGCGGAUCCAGGCAGUCCAGGUCCCGUCGGCUACGGCAACCCUAAAUGCAGGGACUGUUAUGCCCUGCGCCCUCGCUGGGCGAUGAGGAAGAGGGAAAUGAUGCUACGGGCGGAUGCAGCGUGGCUUUUGAUGGCGUCUUAUGGGCAGUUGAGAAGAGCUGCUGAGGUGCUAAAGAGAAAGCCUCGUUCCAGACAGGGGCACACGCACCAGUCGGAAAGCAAAGUUGAAAUGGUGGAUUCUGGCUUUUUUGGACCAGUUUUAUUUUAUUGGAGUCUCACUGUCGCCCAGACUGGAGUACAGUGGCC